GUCCGUCCCUAAUAUAAAAAGGCCAGUUUGCAGCCAGGAAAACACUCCACAGGAUAGUUCCGGAAACGAAAGUUACAUAAUGCUACACGGCCAAGUUCGCGCAACUUGCAGCAAGUCUGUCAUCAGGCCGCAUGCGAAUUGUUGCCAUCAAGCCCCAUCUGAGAAGCGUUCGCUCGGCUUGUUGCGGCUUGACGAUACUUGCCCGCAUCAGCACGACAACAGGCUUGCUGCAAUUUGAUGUCGACAGACCUGUCGCAAUGGCGAUGACAACAGACUUGCUG